rnacentral:rRNA from 1 species
GAUGAACGCUGGCGGCGUGCCUAAUACAUGCAAGUCGAGCGAACGGACGAGAAGCUUGCUUCUCUGAUGUUAGCGGCGGACGGGUGAGUAACACGUGGAUAACCUACCUAUAAGACUGGGAUAACUUCGGGAAACCGGAGCUAAUACCGGAUAAUAUUUUGAACCGCAUGGUUCAAAAGUAAAAGACGGUCCUGCUGUCACUUAUAGAUUGAUCCGCGCUGCAUUAGCUAGUUGGUAAGGUAACGGCUUACCAAGGCAACGAUGCAUAGCCGACCUGAGAGGGUGAUCGGCCACACUGGAACUGAGACACGGUCCAGACUCCUACGGGAGGCAGCAGUAGGGAAUCUUCCGCAAUGGGCGAAAGCCUGACGGAGCAACGCCGCGUGAGUGAUGAAGGUCUUCGGAUCGUAAAACUCUGUUAUUAGGGAAGAACAUAUGUGUAAGUAACUGUGCACAUCUUGACGGUACCUAAUCAGAAAGCCACGGCUAACUACGUG